rnacentral:rRNA from 1 species
AUUGAACGCUGGCGGCAGGCCUAACACAUGCAAGUCGAACGAGUGGCGGACGGGUGAGUAAUGUCUGGGAAACUGCCUGAUGGAGGGGGAUAACUACUGGAAACGGUAGCUAAUACCGCAUACCAUCAGAUGUGCCCAGAUGGGAUUAGCUUGUUGGUGGGGUAACGGCUCACCAAGGCGACGAUCCCUAGCUGGUCUGAGAGGAUGACCAGCAACACUGGAACUGAGACACGGUCCAGAAUCCUAAGGGAGGCAGCAGUGGGGAAUAGUGCACAAGGGGCGAAAGCCUGAUGCAGCAAUGCCGCGUGAAUGAAGAAGGCAUUCGGGUUGUAAAGUACUUUCAGCGGGGAGGCGUGACACGCAGAAGAAGCAACGGCUAACUCCGUGCCAGCAGCAGCGGUAAUAA